CAGUUACAUUAAAAAAUAAUGUAAAAUUAAAUGAAUGGUUGCUAAGAUUAGGUUUGCGACUAAAAAUCUUUUGUAGAACAUUAAAGGAAAUUUCAUGGUACCUACUUACGGUAUUUACUCGCGACUGUGCUGAAGCUAGCUCUAUCCGCCCGCACGGGUGCGUUAUGGCACAGCGAGCUUGCCACAACAGCUUAAGUCAUUCAAUCCACGCAACUAAGCAUUUUGGUACAAUUUACAACUAAUAUUAUCUCCUUUCCUGGAGAAGGAACAGUCGCCAAGGCAAUGGAAGGAUGCAGUUGUGGUGCCUAUUUUCAAGGGACGUGGAGAUAAGGCAAAACCAGAAAAUUAUAGACCUGUCAGCAUGAUGUCGAGUGAGGGAAGGUGAUGGAAAAACUGAUAGUGAGACAUGGACAGAUUGGAAAUCUGUUACCAAAGCCAAGGCAGCCAGCGUAAAAAAAAAAAAAAAAAAACCUAGGCGGGACAGGUAGGGUCCAUCAAAAAUGUUUUUGAACAAACAUGAAGAAAGAUGAAUAGGCUUAAUAUGUUGAGCCAUGGCUAAUGGCUUUGGAAUUAAUGAUGUGGUUGGUGUUUCAUAAAGCACAACUGAUGAACCAGCAGGUGACGUAGGUUUGUCACAAGGCUUGUCUACUGCAACCUCCAUUGAGAUUCAGUGUCAACCAGAUGUCUUAAUUUCCCAAGAACCAAAAGCAUCCACAUCUUCAUGCUCUGAUGCGGUUAUUAACCCUUGUGAGCCACAAUUCAUUGAUGUUGAUGAAUUGGCAAUUUGUAUUUUGCAGUUUGAUGAACCACAAGUUCACGCCUUAACACGGAAUGGAAGUCCAUUGCCAUCAGCGUCAGCACUAUCUCCAAGAAAUUACUGUGCUUCUACUGCAAAACCAUCCUUAAGACGCAAACCUCAUGGGCAGACAAUUUUCAGUUCAAAAAAGAAGUGCAAGUUGAGUGACCCAGGCUCAACAUUCCAGAGAGCUACUGAAAGUUUCACCCGAGUGCGAGGAUAAAAACAUUGCUGUGCGCGGAGGUACAGCCUCAGCCUUGGCUAGACUUGCCACAGCUGCAGAUCUGGCAAAAGAACAAAUUAGAGAAACCCAAGGACUUGUGGAGGCUGCUAAUGGAAUCAUUACAGCAGUAAAGCUAUUGCAUCUGCACUCACACACACACACACACACACACACACACACACUUAAACGUCUUUUGAUUUGUUUAUAUAGGUACAUCUUUUAUUUUUAUUAUUCUUCUCCAUACAAAUUGUCCACAGCAUUGUUUGUUUUUUAUACCUUAAUCCUCAAGACUUGCCUCAUUCUUUCUUUAUAAUAUCCCACAUGUUUUUAUUUCUUCCUGGUUUUGAUGAAUUACUUUUUCUAAAUUCAUUUUCUUAGCUUGACUGAACACUUAACUGUACAAGUUUUGAUAAUUUUUUGUAAUAUUCUUCAAAGAAAAUGUAGUACCUAUGUAUUGUCUCCUACAUACUGCAUUGUCAGCUCUCAUGUUAAGUCAACCUAUAGGCUUCAGUUUUAAAUUAGAGAAAAAAUUUAGUAGAUUAAAAAACAUUAAAAAAUGUUAAUUGCUUACAGAUCUAAUGAAAUUUUUGGGAACCUGCUGGUCACAUGAUUACUUCAAACACAGUUUAUUCACAAAUUAUCGUAUAAGUUAGGCUCACACACCAAAAUUACUUAAAUAAUUAUUUUAAUAAAAUUAUUAAACUUAAAUAAUGGUGGUAAGAACUAAACAAUCAUAGUCAAUAUCAUCAGCAUCAUCACUCAGCUCACACUCUCUUCACUACCUACUCACCGUACCUACAUCUGUUGUAAGCAAAUGUGAACAACAUGCAGCACCUAGUGCUGGGCAUACACACAACUUGCAGCUCAUCAAUAUGUAUGAUACAAAUGUGUUAGCCUAUUUGUAAAAUUAAUUUUGCACUGCUGUAAAAUUUAAAGAAAAUUUCUGACAUGUAAAAUAAAAUAUACAUGUUUUUAAAGUAUAUAUGUGCAUAUUUUGUUUUCUUGCAAUUUCUGAAAUGCCCGCAUGUAAGUCGGGUCUACAUUUUUCUUUAUAAAUUUAGGGGAAAAUUUCCAACAUAUUCAAGACAAUAAGUUAUUUGGUAGAGAGAUUUAAUGAUUUAAACCAUUUAGUGGGAAUCCAUAUGGCUAUGCCAAAACUGCAUGUUAAUACAACAAAGCACUGAAGUGGAACUAAAAGCAUGAAAUUGAUCAGCAUAUUUACCAAAUGUAGUUCAUAUCACAAAAAUAUAAAUUUUAAUAAAUUUUAUUUUUUCAUCCCAAAUUUAUAACAAAAAUGUAUUGGACAUAUGAAUAGGAAAAAAAUUAAUUACCUACAUUGUUUGAUCUUGUCUCCCUUAUAACCCUAGCUUUACCUUACUGACGUGUGUAUAUUUUUCAAAUGCAUAAAUGCUCGUUAACUUAUUUUUGUUUCAAGUAAUUCUGCCAGAGACGUGUAUUACAAAUUAAUUUUUGUUAAAAUGCAUUAUUUGUCACAUUCAAAAUCACACUAUUUUUAAUUGUGUAUCAAAAAAUAUUUAAAUGUUUUAUUAAUUUAAUAAUAUUCUAUUUUUAGUUAAAUAAAUAGUGUUAAAAAUAAAAACGGUUCAAUCAAAAUAUGUUUCUAAAAACAAAAUUGGCCUGAAAAUAAAACUAUAAAAUCUUGUCCUUAUUUAUAGUCCUAAAUUAAAUUUUAUAACAUACGUAAUGUAUUUUUUCAUAUCUAUAUUAUUUGUUGAAAGUAAUAGUCUGGUUUUCCAAAGUCUUUUCCACUAUUAAAUGGAAUGAUUUGUAUUAAUAUUUGUUUUGAUGUACAUAUUUCAAUGUAGGCCUAGUGUAUGUUCAGGGUGUGUUGAUUUUGUAACUUUUGUGAUUAUGCAAAUCAUUGAUUUUAUUUGGUAUAUUUUUCAUAUUGUAUGAAUUUUAUGAUCUCACAUAGCAUGACCUUGUUUAUUGUCUAUAUUGUUUUGUUAAUUUUUUGGGUAAAAAUAUAUUUCUAUCUCCAUCUGGAAGCAAUACAA